UUGUGGGAGAAUAAUUUCUUUUUGAGUGGGGUGGGAUUAUGUGCAAUAAAUUUCAUCUCCCAUCCUUCAAAAAAAAAAAAAAAAAAGUUUAAUCUCCCGGUAAUAUGCACAUGGCGCUAAAAAAUUUCCUUUUCUACUAGACGGUUACUCUAGAUGUGAAGCAAAGUUCACAGUUUCUCUUAAUUCAAAGUUCAGAAGUUCACCCAGCAAAUUUUUGUUUUCAAUAUGAAGGAACCCGUAAGAAGUUCAUCAGCAUCAGUGGAAUGGUCAAUUUGUAGGAACCCUUGAGUUUCAUUAGAUGCCUUUCUCUUCUCCGGUCAAUUGUGAGGUUGAAAUGGAUGCUCCCUGGAGCCAUUAUCUACUGCUAUCUACAGUUUGUAGGGAUGAUCAGGUAUAUGACCCAUCGAAGAAGUCAAGAAACAAGUUGUUAAGAUACUUCAAGAUGUUAGUAUUAUUGUAGAAACCAUCAAGGAUGACCGUUCUUAUUGGUCUAUCAAAUUCAGGAAAAACGACAAAUUUUAAAAUUGUAGCAAGAAGAAGGUGCUUGCCAUAUUAACUAAAGACACGGGUUGGAGAUUUUAUGCACAACAUGGCUUCAGAAGAAGAGUGCAACAUGCCAUCACUUUUUAGCACUAUAUAUAUUUUUUCUUUGAAAUUUUAGAUAUUUUUCUAAGUAGCUAGGUUGUUCGAUUAGUGCUACUAUAAAAGUUAAUGAAGUGAUGGACAUCUUGUUCCAAAUUUUUGGGAUCAUUGAUUUUUUUUAUUAUUAUUAUUAAUAUAUGAUUUUUAUUGUAUUGGAUGUGUUUAAUUGUCA